GUUCAGUAUGCUGCUUAUGUAACUAUGGGAGGCAUCACCUCUAUUAUUAAGCCAAUGUUUGCUGGACUUUUUUUUUUUUUCUUUGUGAGGUUUGGCAUUGGAAGGCACCUUCUUGUAAAGUUCCCAUGGCUCUUUUCCUUUUUGGUUGUUUUUCAAAGCAAGGUCCAACACAAAAACAGGUGGAGUUGGGAACACACACCUCGUUCCUGUCUUCAAGCAACUUAGGAUCUAUUCUGCAGACAAAACAUGGAUCCCUCCAAAAGGUAAGUCACAAAUAAUGAUGGUGUGUUGUGAAUUUCUGAAAGGAGUGGAAGAGCCCACAGAGUUCUCAGCUUAAGACUCAGUUGUCUUCCCAACUCUCUGAAGUCUUUCCUCACAGCAGCCCAGACAUCCUGUGAUGACCUCUGCCCUGACCAUUCUCAUUCAUGUUCAUUGGACUGUCCCCAGGUUUAACAGAUAAGAACAAGAUAGGCCCAGUUACAUUGGCAUUUCAGAUAAACAACAGAUACAUUGUAUACAAGUAUACAAGUAUACGGAUGCCUCAUGCAAUAUUUGAGACCUACUCAAAAGUAUUCCAUGUUUCCCUGAAAUGCAGAUGGCUAUAUACCACAUCUUUCUUGGCUCAUCCUUCUGUAGAUGCUUGGGUUGUUCUCCUGUCCUGGUGAUUGUAACUCUGUUGUGAUGAAAUAGAGGUGCAUAUGAUCGUCAAGCGAGUGUUUUAGAUAAAUUGCCAGAAGUGGAAUUGCUGGGUCAUACUGUAGUUCUGAUUGUAAUUUUUUGAGCAGUCUCAUGCUGUUUUCCACUGUGGCUGCACCAGUAAUGUUCCUUUUUCU